UACGUAGGGACCAAGCGUUGUUCGGAUUUACUGGGCGUAAAGGGCGCGUAGGCGGCAAUUCAAGUCAGUUGUGAAAUCUCCGAGCUUAACUCGGAACGGUCAACUGAUACUGCUUUGCUAGAGUACAGAAGGGGCAAUCGGAAUUCUUGGUGUAGCGGUGAAAUUCGUAGAUAUCAAGCGGAACACCGGUGGCGAAGGCGGCCUUCUGGACAGUGACUGACGCUGAGACGCGAAAGCGUGGGGAGCAAACAGG
rnacentral:rRNA from 1 species